CUCCACUGGUGAGGAAGGGGUCAGUCUGAAAUGGGGUUAGGUUAUUUCACACGUGGCAUAGAACGGGUUAAAUGGAUGAUGUUUUUUCUGGUUUGUGGCAGAAAUGAUUAAUGAAUGGAGCUCUGCACAUCCCUAAUAUUUAAUGGGUUAAUAAUUGUGAGUUAAUAGGUCUGUGGCACAGGAAGGGUUAAUGGAUGUGGUAAUAGGAUACAAAAGGGUUAGCUGGAUGUGUGCGGGGUUAAUGGGGCAAUGCACCAUGGCACACACAGGGUUAAUAAGGGUUACAGUGUUACCUGAUGGUCAAGGGAUCUCUUUACUGUAUCCCACCCUACAGACGCUCUCUGGGCAUAUUUACUAAACGUCAACAGUCUCUCUCCUGUAGUAUCAGUCUCUCUCUCACAGUCUCUCUCUCUCACAGUCUCUCUCUCUCUCAGUCUCUCCUAUAGUAACAGUCUCUCUCUCUCACAGUCUCUCUCUCACAAUCUCUCUCCUGUAGUAACAGUCUCUCUCUCACAGUCUCUCUCCUGUAGUAUCAGUCUCUCUCUCUCAGUCUCUCUCCUGUAGUAUCAGUCUCUCUCUCACAGUCUCUCUCUCACAGUCUUUACUAUCUUCCUGUCCUCGAUCCGAUCAACUUACUGCAACUACUCCUUUACUAUCUUCCUG